rnacentral:lncRNA from 1 species
CAGCGCGAGCGCGACGGAGAGGCGCCGCUUGUUGCCCGAGGACAGGCCGCGGAUGAUCUCGCUGCCCGCGCGCGUGUGCUGGAACUCCUCGAGCCCGACGGAGUGGAGGAGCUUGUCCACCUCGGCGGCGCGUUGGGUGACGUCGAGGUCUCCGCGGUGCAGCGCCAUGGCGUACUCGAGGUGUUCCCUGGCGGUGAGGGAUGCCCAGAGGGUGUCGAACUGCUCGACGUAGGCGCAGACUCGGUCGUACAUGGCGGUGGUGAGGGGUUCGCCGUUGACGCGGAUGUAGCCGGAGGGCGAGCCGCCGGCUUGUUGCAGCGUCAGCGC